GUUGUUCAUUGUUUUGAGGCUCUAAUGUUGGCUGGACAGAUGGGGACUGGACUGAUGGGGUCUGGACUGGUAUGGGCUGGACAUGUGUGGGUUGAGCUUCAGUAGGCUGGACUAGUGUGGGCUGCGAAUGAGAGGCCGAAGGCACUGCAGACUGAGGAAGCAAUCUCAUGACCAGUUCUUUAAAAUUGGUAAACUCUUGUCUGAGUUCACUAUAUUCUCGUUCACGUGUUUGAAGCCG
rnacentral:lncRNA from 1 species